GUGCUCGCUUUGGCAGCACAUGCACUAAAACUGAACCGAUACAAAGAUUAGCAUGGCCCCUGCACAAGGGUGACACGCAGAUUCAUGAAGCAUUCCACAUUUUU
rnacentral:snRNA from 1 species